rnacentral:rRNA from 1 species
GGGGACAACCCGCCGAAAGGCGGGCUAAACCCGCGUACAUGCCACCGGGGCAUCCCGGAGGCAGGAAAGGCUUCGGCCGGGCAGGGAUGGGCAUGCGGCGCAUUAGGCAGUAGGCGGGGUAACGGCCCACCUAACCGACGAUGCGUAGGGGUUCUGAGAGGAAGGUCCCCCACACUGGUACUGAGACACGGACCAGACUCCUACGGGAGGCAGCAGUGAGGAAUAUUGGUCAAUGGUCGGGAGACUGAACCAGCCAAGCCGCGUGAGGGAUGAAGGUACAGAGUAUCGUAAACCUCUUUUGUCAGGGAACAAAGGCGGGGACGUGUCCCCGGAUGAGUGUACCUGAAGAAAAAGCAUCGGCUAACUCCGUGCCAGCAGCCGCGGUAAUACGGAGGAUGCGAGCGUUAUCCGGAUUUAUUGGGUUUAAAGGGUGCGCAGGCGGUCUGUUAAGUCAGCGGUCAAAGCCCGGGGCUCAACCCCGGCCCGCCGUUGAAACUGGCAGUCUCGAGUUGGAGAGAAGUAUGCGGAAUGCGCGGUGUAGCGGUGAAAUGCAUAGAUAUCGCGCAGAACUCCGAUUGCGAAGGCAGCAUGCCGGCUCCACACUGACGCUGAGGCACGAAAGCGUGGGUAUCGAACAGGAUUAGAUACCCUGGUAGUCCACGCAGUAAACGAUGAA